rnacentral:rRNA from 1 species
AUAACGACUCUCGGCAACGGAUAUCUCGGCUCUCGCAUCGAUGAAGAACGUAGCGAAAUGCGAUACUUGGUGUGAAUUGCAGAAUCCCGUGAACCAUCGAGUCUUUGAACGCAAGUUGCGCCCAAGCCUUUAGGCCGAGGGCACGUCUGCCUGGGUGUCACG